CUCAUGUCACUUUCAAACCGUAUGGUUUUGAUUGAGCUCCGAUCAAGAAUUUUCUGAUGCUGUUCACAUUCCCUGGAAAGCUUAGAGAUGAAGGACGCCAUUGUAGGAAGGAAGCACGGCGUAAAAAGUUUUCUGGGUUGGGGGAAUUGAAGACGAAGACCUGGGAAAAAGAAAUGUGCUGGAGAAUAAGGGCAAGAAAUUUCAGAAUAAUUUUGGAAGCGUAAAGUAUGAAUGAGGGUUUUCAGUAUUUAUAGGAUUUUGGC
rnacentral:lncRNA from 1 species